AAUAUACAAUGGUGCCUGCAUGUGCAGGAGAAUAGGAAAGCUGAGUGAAAAUCUCACACGGUCCCGCCGCUGUAAGGGAAGAGCUGCAUUUUAUCAUGUCACUGGGAAACUGGGAAGGCGAAAUGCAUCUGUGACGCCCAAGUCAGAAGACCUGCCUUGUAUAU
rnacentral:ncRNA from 1 species